rnacentral:rRNA from 1 species
CCUACGGGAGGCAGCAGUGAGGAAUCUUGGUCAAUGGACGGAAGUCUGAACCAGCCAUGCCGCGUGCAGGAAGACGGCUCUAUGAGUUGUAAACUGCUGUUGUACAAGGGUAAACCUGAAUACGUGUAUUCAGCUGAGAGUACUGUACGAAUACGGAGCGGCUAACUCCGUGCCAGCAGCCGCGGUAAUAUGGAGGAUCCAAGCGUUAUCCGGAUUUAUUGGGUGUCAGGGGUGCGUAGGCGGAUUGAUAAGUUAGAGGUGAAAUGCCCGAGCUUAACUCGGGAACUGCCUCUAAAACUGUUGAUCUAGAGAGUAGAUGCGGUAGGCGGAAUGUAUGGUGUAGCAGUGAAAUGCUUAGAGAUCAUACAGAACACUGAUGGCGAAGGCAGCUUACCAAUCUAUAUCUGACGUUGAGGCACGAAGGCGUGGGGAGCAAACAGGAUUAGAUACCCGGGUAGUC